rnacentral:lncRNA from 1 species
UACCGGUUCGCUUUGCGCCCUCCUCCUCCUCCCGCGAACGGGGCUCCGGCGCUCCCACAAUGCACCGGGCGCGGCCGGGCUCCCUUAAGCGUCGCCUGAAUAAAAAUGCCGCUCCCGGCGGCGGAGGGCGGGAGGGCCCGGGCCGCGCCUGGGCGCCGCGGGGGCUCGGCCUGGCUCGGCGGGCCCCUGCCGGGAACGGGGCCGCCGCGCUCCGCCGUGCGCCGCGCGCGAGGGGCCUUUAAGGGCCGGCUACCUCCCUUUAAGAGGCGGCGGGCCGCGGCCGGAGCGGCUCGGUGGCUGCGUGCGGCCCGGGAAGGGGGCGGGGGCGAUGUGCAGGCCCGAGCGCGGCAAUGAUUGGUCUCGGGGGAGGGGUGGGGGGUUGCAAACCCGAGGAGCGGUGGCAUCCGUUGCAUGAUGCAAAAAGGAUUGAUUUCAAAAGUUGCGAGUUGCAUUGGCAGCAGCCUUUGGCGCCCAGGCCACCUACUUUUCCUUGACCCGCUGGAAGGGCCGGGAAUGUUUUCCCGAACCUGCCCGGGCUCAACCGCGCUACGCUCUGCGGGACGCUGUACCUGCUCCCCGAGCGCUCGCGUCGCGUUGUCCUGGAAGACAAUGAGCGUGGAAACAAUUUGAAAAAGACAGGGAGCAGAGGAAAGACCCGGAGCAGUGUAGCCGCCUCUGCUACACUGAAAGAUUUAAAAACAACCGGCGCGAUUGAUUAAUAAUGACUUCCAUGUCUCUUCCCUUCUAUUGUUUAGCCCGGCUCGGGAGUUAAGAUGAGCCUUGAUGAAUAUGCAAACGUCCUGCAGUUUCUGGAACCUUUAAUGUGCUUGGUAGGAAGUCAGAGCUUAAGGUUCCUCAGUUACAUUGUUUGCUCUCCACAUGUCCAAGUAAACAUGGCAGCCUAAUAGCGUAUGGGUUCGAAUUAACACCGAUAGGAGAGCUUCGGCUUGUGAAAUUACUUUUUCCAGGUUUUCAACUUCCUAAUGCACUGCUGGUUGAAAUAAAGCGAAAAUGCUUUCGUACUGCAUCACUUAGGGCUUCCCUUAAAACCGAGGAGUGUGGAGGAACGCCAACCAAACUUUUCCAGAGUGGUGCAGCGUUGUCCAAAUGUAUUUCUGAGCAGAACUGUUGUUGGUAACCGAACGGUGCUUUAGGUUGCGCGUCAGCUUUGCGGGCUGCGCAGAUGCCUUUUUAAUUCUUUAAAAUUUCUGCUUGACAUUCCCCCAGGGUUUUUAUCUAAGUGAGGAUCCAAAAAGUGAUGCAACCUAGAAGACCAGGUUGAUAGCAGCUUCUCCACGCUGUGUCCUUUCUCUGUACUACCGUAAGUUAGGAAAGAAUGUGGUCGCCUGGGUUCUUUAAUGUGAUUUAUGGACUCUUGUAAGAAUGGCAUCACCUUGUGGUUGACAAACCUGCAUUUGCCUCUGAAUCACCUGGGAAGACAGGUCCACACAACCCCAGGCAACACUCCAGACUCCGGCAUCAAGGAAGAAGGGUAGAUAUCUUUAUUCCCCUCCUCCCUUCCCUUUUAAAAUUGAUUUUGUAACUUGUUGUGGGGUUUUGGUUUUGUGUGUUUGUUUUUUAGCAAAAAAAGUCACAACUAGAAAAAAAUAAUUGGGGCGAUUAGGAGGAAGAUGAUGCAACAGAAGUGAGUAGGGCCCUCUGUGAAGAUGCCUGGGUCACGCCAGGGAGUUUAGUAUUUUUGCUGUAAUCAGCAGAGCUUAUCAGAUUUGCUUUUUACAAGUUUAGCUUGUAAUGGGGGCUGUACCACAUCUGGGAGGAUGCCCUCUCCUGGAGGGGAAACCAGGACCACAUCUCCAGUUAGCAGGUAAUUGUGCUAGUCAAGCAUGGAGUCAAGGAUAUUGGAACUGAAGCAGUGGGAAAGCAGACAAGGAAAGGGAUUUGAGGUGAGUUCAUGUGUGGUUGGAGAAAGAAGCAUAAGAUGACCCCCACGUUUCUCGCUUGGGGGCCCUGGGUGGGAGGUGAUGCUACCAACUGAAAUAGGAACUGCUGAAAGACAAACAAGUUUUGGGGUGAGUUCCGGUUUGGAAAUGUUAAAUUUCAGGGGCCUCCCAGAUAUUCUAGGCAGAAGGCAGUUGGUAAAACUAGGUCUGGCGCCUGGGAUGGGGGUGAGCUCUGACUUUGAGAUGCAAAUGUGGGUGCCAUCAGCAUAUAAAUGGACUUUGACGCCUCGGAAAGUGGUGAGACGAACCAGGAGGGAGAGAGUUCAGGAAAAAAGUGAAAGAGACCUUGGACAGAGCCCUGCGGAGCUCCAAAAUGGGAUGGCUGGGCCAGCGAGCGAGAGGCUGACUGCUGCUGGGUCUGUGGGAGGUUAGCAUGCUCAGAAUCAUUCCUCCCCCAGCCCUGGGGGCUGCAGCUCCAGAACAACUUUAGUCAUAGUCUCCUGAGUGGAGGCUAUAGAUUCUUGGCUAAGCCACAAACACCUGGAUUCAUCUGGAGCUAGUCUGCAACUUUGCGGCUGGAUAUCCCACCAGAUCUCUGUCUCUCCCUUCCUUUGUUAUAAACGCCAGCCUCACUCUGUGCUUCCCUUUGUUGCCUUCUUUCUCCUGCCAUCCUUUCCAUGAGCCUUCCCCAGCGGCCUCAUCAGAGCCCCAUUCCAUUGGGAACCAUCUCCCCUGAGUUCUCAGGUCCUCCUGGCUCCACUUGAAAGAUGGUUCCCCUGGGUUGAAUUACUUGCUGGAGGUUUGUUAAAAAUACAAAUUCACCAGCCCCACUCCAAAGAUUAUAUCCAGCAGGUGUAAUGGGUUGAAUUAUGAUAAAGAUUCUUUGCUUGACCAAACUUUAGUCGGGCUCCUGAAACUUCUCCUAGGCCCAACUGUACACUUCCUUGUAAAAUCCAGUUUUGGCAAGAUGGGUAUCUGAUCACCUGGCCUGCCUUCAGCAAGAGUCCUGGUAGGUCGGUUUAGACAGGAUCCCCCUCAGCCCUGAUGUCUCUUAGUCCUUUCCCAUCCACUGACCGCCAACCUGCUCCUUGGCUGCAAAUUCCCACUUGCCCAUGCUGUAUUCAGAGUUGAGCAUAGUCUCUCUCCCCCACUGCAAAAUUCCAGCACAGUGGCCCUAUACUUAUUGCAAUAGUCCUGAAUAAAGUCUGCCUUACCAUCUUUAACAAGUGUGACAAAUAGUUUUUUCUUUAAUAAUUGUGCCCCCCUCCUACCCCCCCCCCAAAAAAGAUAUGUUGAAGUCCUAACCUCGAGUACCUAUGAAUGGGGCCUUAUUUGGAAAGAAGAUCCUUGCAGAUGUAAUCAAGUUAAGAUGAAGUCAUACUGGAUUAGGAUGGGCCCUAAAUCCAAUGAGCUAUAACAAAAGGAAGAUUUGGAGACAGAGACCCAGGGAAGAAGGCCACAUGAAGAUGAGGCAGAGAUUGGAGUCAGGCAGCUACAAGCCAAGGAACACCGAGGAUUACUGGCGACCACCAGAAGUAGGAAGAUACCCUCCCAGAAACAUCAGAGAGGCCAUGGCCCUGCCAACACCUUGAUUUGUGACUUCCGGCCUGCUGAGCUGUGAGAGAAUACAUUUCUGUUGUUUUACGCCACCCAGUCUGUGGUAUGUGUUACAGCAGCCACAGGAAACCAAUAUAGCGUGUCUGAGGUGUACGUUGGGGGACGAGGUGCUAAGAAUCCAUGCUUUGGAUGGGCUCACCUGGUGGUGGUGGUGCUUUAGGGGAACACUGCACUAAAGAAUGCUGCUUUCUCAGAAACCCAGAGGGCAGGAGGCUGCCCGUUCAUCUGCUUCCCACGUUCUGCUAGCUUCGGUGACGUUACUUUCCCUCUGUCCUGCCUUUCUCAUGUCCCGCCUGUCUUUCGGGUUCUUGCUAUCCAGCGUUACACCAUCUGAUGCCACACUGGUCACUUCCUUACGUUGUUUGAGUCAUGCUCAUUCAGAUAUGGCCCCUGAUCUGUGAUCAUGGGGGGUGGUGGGAGUGUCCAAUCAGAGCUAAGACCCGGUGGGCAAUGGACACAUCAUAUUAUUAAAUUUAGCUUUACUCCACAUAAGCUGCCCAUUCUCGUGGCUAUACUGUGAACCUCCUCAUUCCUAGAAAUCUUAAACACCAACAUCCUGUCUUCAAUCCUAUAGUCCUCUCAUUGCUUUACUCCCUGACACCUGCACAUCAACUGCAUAGUGGCCGCCAGUCUCUCUCCUUCCAUCCAGCCUGGAUCCCUUGGUCAGCUCAGCAGCCUGGUCCCCUGCACCUCCCCUUCUUUGACCACACCCACCCACAAACAUGCAGCCUUAGGUCCCUCCCACCUGCCAUGUUCUCUGCCCUUUUGCUGGGCUGGAGAAAACGUAGAACUUGGAGACCAUGCCAUUACAGAUGUGUGAUCUCCAGUGCCACCUGGGCCUUUCUGACAGCUGGAAAAUCCUUAAGUAUGUUAUUCCUAAUGUUCGUUAUUCUCCCCGAAGUUUAUACCACAGUUUACUGCCCUCAGUGGCAGAUGCAUCUCAAGAAGAAAAUGUACACCAUGGGAGGGAGCCUCCAACUUUCCCAUACCGUUCCCAUCCCACCCCUUGGACCAGCACGCCAGUGUCUGGGAGGGAGGACCACUUCUGAAUGUCCAAGGCUGGUCCCCUGCCUGUGCUCCAGCUGCCACCCUUCCAACAAUAGCUAACUUUUGUUGAGGACUUGCUACGUAUCUACGUAUGUAUCCCACUGUACAGAGUGUUUUCUGACCAUCACCUCUUAGAAUUCUGGCAACAUCCCCUUGAGGUAAGUCCUAUUGUAUAUUUUCCUUUCCUGGAGGAAAGCAGGGCUCAGACUGAUUAAGCAGCUUGCCCAAAGUCACUGUCUUACUUUGGGUCCCCCCCCCCAACCCGGGCAGAACUGGAGACAAGGACUUGGGGGAAGGAAGUCUUCAGAAGGUAGUUUCAGGAAGCACAAGUCAAGAAGUGGGCAAAAUAAGACAGGAAAGGGAGAAAGCCAAAAAGCAUGUAAAUGAUUAGGUUAGCACAGUGGGUAGUGGGGCUCAGCCCUGUUGGCGCCUCUCUCAGAAACUGUGUGGAACCCCCUCUGGUUGGCGGAAUAAUGCACCUCCUGCCCCCAGAAGAUUGUCUAUGUCCCAUUCCCCGGAACCUGUGAAUAUAUUAUGUUCCAAGGUAAAGAGGAAUUGAGUUUGCUAAUCAGUUAACCUUAAGGAGAUUAUUCUGGGUUAUAUGGGUGGGCCCAGUGUAUCCACAAGCGUCCUUAAAAGUGGAAGAGGGAAUAGAGAACAGAGCGAUGUCAGCCUGAGAAGGAUCUGGCCCGACAUCGCCGGCUUUGAAGAUGGAGGAAGGGGCAUGAAUCAAAGAAAACAGGAGCCUUCUGGAAGCUGGAAAAGGUAAGGAAACAGCUUCUCCUCUAGAGCCUCCACAAGGAAUGACCCCUGCUGGUACCUUGGUCUUGGCCCAGUGAGAUCCGUGUCAGAUUCUGAUCCGCAAAACUGUCAGAUUGUAAAUGUGUGUUGUUUCAAACUGCAAAGUUUGUGGUAAUUUGUCCCAGCAGCAAUAGAAAACGAAUACAUCUCCUUAAAAUCACGCCACUGGCAGGCUGGAAGGCUGAGGCACUCAUCCAUGGACUCUCAUCUUUCAUUGGCUGAGGGUUGCCCCUGGGGCAGUGGACGGAGACUCAGAACUUCCUGCCCUGGAGAAGCAGCCCUGGAGGACCAGGCAGGCAGGUGAUGGAGGUGGAACACUGCCAGUGGGCUGGAAACUCUCCCCAACGCUUCAGGUGAAACCAGAAGCAGGCUGGGCAUUGAUGGUGUCGACAGCCUCUGCCACAGGGCCCAGCUGUAAGCAGUCAAGCCAGGAUUGGAACGGGGUUAAGUGUGGAGCCCACGUGCCUAGCCUAGGACUUCCCUGUGGCAUUUGAGGCCAGUAAGUACUCACUCUUCUUUUUGCAAUUCUCUGGGUUUGAUGUUAGCUCUUCCCUCAUUUUCCUCCUAACCUCUGACUACUGAAUCUUUUUGCAUCCCUCCUCUUUCACUGUCCUUGCCCCCUAGUCACAUGCCCCCAAGACUGAGGUCCAUCAGGUUUGUCUUCGACUUUCUUCGUGGGCUCUUCCUACUUCUUACGUUACUCGUGGCUUCUAGCGUCAAGCUGUCCAGUGCAGCCACUCUCUUGGUGUGGCUGUGGAGUGCUUGGGUUGUCCAAAUCGAGACAUGCUCUAAAUGUAAAAGAUGCACUGGAUUUUGAAGACUUGAAAAGAAUGUAAAAUACCUCAAUGUUUUUUGUAUUGAUUCAUGUUGAAAUAUAAUACUUCGGAUGUGUUGGGUUAUAUAAAAUAUAUUGUUGACUUCAUCUGUUUCUUUUUACCUUCUUUUUGAUGUGGUCACUUGAACGUUUAAAGUGACAUAGGAGGCUCAAGGGCUAUUUCUACUAGACAGUGCUAUUCCGGAGGACUCCCCCAUCCCCAGAGCCCCAGACACAGACAUUCACCACUUAGGUGGCUCUCGUUGCCUCUGGCUCCACUUUUCCAGUUGCGGUUCUCACUCAUGGGUGUGCACGGAUGAUCGUAGGUGGUAUGUGGAAGAACAUUAAUUUGUAUAGUCACAUGUUCGUUGUAACACACAUUGAGAAGAUUUAACUGACAUAUAAAACCUGUGAUUUCAUGGACAUUAUUAUUUAGGACAAAAAGGGAGUCAACUUAAAGAAAAAUUUAAAGAAACAAGAGCACAGCCUAAAGUGAUAGCAUUGGUCAAGUAAAUAAUAGCUACAGGAUAAAUUUCAGAAAAAUACAAACAACCUGCAUGAUCCAGCUUCUCCUUUUCCUCUCUGAUCUGAUCUCCGGAAGGUGCCCGCUUUCUCUUCUUCAGCCACACAGCCAUACUGAGUGCAUCCACACCCCCAGGCUCACCUGCUCUUUCUCCACUUUGCGUCUUGGCAAGCACCAUAUCUUUGCUUGUACCACCUCGUCUCCCUUUCUGGCAAAGGAAAACCAAACUUGUAAGAUUCUGCUCCAAGAGCCUUCCCUCUGAAGAGUUCUCUGGCUACUUCGGGGGAACAACCACCCCAUCUGUGGUAGGCAGAAUAAUGGCCCCUCAAAGAUGUCCACAUCCUAAUCACCCAUGAAUAUGUUACCUUGCGCGGCAAAAGGGACUUUGCAGAUGUGACUAAGUUAAGGAGUUUUUGAUGAGAAGAUUAUCCUGCAUUAUCUGGGUGAACAAGUGCAACCACCAGCAUCUUUUUAAGGAAAAAAGGAAGACAAGAGGAUAGAAAGAGAUGUGACAAAGGAAGCAGAGGUCAGAGUGAACUGGGGCCACCAGCCAAGGAAUGUGGGCAGCUUCCAGAAACUGGAAAAGGCAAGGAAAUGGAUUCUGCCCAAGAGACUCCAGAAGGAACACAGCCCUGCCAACCCAUUUUGGUCCUCGUCGUGGAACCUAUCCUGCUGAUUUGCAGUUCUUAUUCCAUAUAACUAAUCUCUCCUCCACAAUUCCACCCCUCCUCCAGAAGCCAUGAGCUCCUUGUAGAGACUGUGUCAUGUGUAUCUUUGCGGUAGGAAUGGCAGGAGAGUGGUAUUCUGGAAUUUGGGGACAAAGAAUUUAAGAAGGUAGGAGGAGUCAACAUUGUCAAGUACUACAGAAAAGUGAGGCAAGAUAAGGACCGAAAAUAGAUCAUUGGAUUUAAGAGGUCCCUAGUGGCCUUGGGAGAAGAUACUCACAUGCAGACGCCAGAGUGGAAGAUGAUGUAGUGGGCUGAUGAGUGAGUGGGAGUUGAAGAAGUGGAGAUAAUGAGCAUAAACACCUCUUUUAAGAGAUGUGUUGGAGAAGAAGAAGAGAGGACAUUCACCUGAGAGGGAAGAGAAGGAGUUUGUUUUUUAGAACCUCAAAAUCUUGGAGAGGUAUGUACGCCAAAGCGAAGCAGUCAAAGCAGAAGAGACUAAAGAUAUGAGAAUGGGAAGUGACAGGGAGAUGAAGAUCCAAAAGACAGGGAGGAGGAGAGGGAUUCUGGCGUGCGGACCGAGGCAGAAGAGGAAGCGAGGACGGGGGCUCUGGGAGGGCCAGUGGGAGAAGUCAGGGAGAAGAAACCAAAGGGUCCCCACU